rnacentral:rRNA from 1 species
UUUCACCUACGGGACGCAGCAGUGAGGAAUAUUGGUCAAUGGCCGCAGGGCUGAACCAGCCAAGUCGCGUGAGGGAUGACGGUCCUAUGGAUUGUAAACCUCUUUUGUCAGGGAGCAAAGGGCGCCACGUGUGGCGUUUUGCGAGUACCUGAAGAAAAAGCAUCGGCUAACUCCGUGCCAGCAGCCGCGGUAAUACGGAGGAUGCGAGCGUUAUCCGGAUUUAUUGGGUUUGAAAGGUGCGCAGGCGGAAUGUCAAGUCAGCGGUAAAAUUUCGGGGCUCAACCCCGUCAUGUCGUUGAAACGAG